rnacentral:lncRNA from 1 species
AAAACUAUAGGAAAAGGUGCAGAACCCACUUUAUUGGAUUCUACUCAGAACGAGGAUUCCAACCCAAGUGAUUUCACAUUUUUCUAAUUUUUCCUCGAUUUAAGGUAUAAUUUCCAAGCUUGUGCCGAUUUAAAACGAGUUAAAAGAGUCGGACCGGGAAAAACUUAUGAUCUGACCCUUAGACUCAAGGAAUAACUACACCAGGAUCCUUAGAUUUAAGACAAAGAAGUCCUCGGAAUUUUACACAGAUACCCUCGGUCAAAAUAAAAAGACACAACCGAGCCCUUGGGCGAGGCGGACAGCACUCGGGCGAGUCAGGCGAGGCGGACAGCACUCGGGCGAGUCGGGCGAGGCGGACAGCACUCGAGCGAGACGGAUAGGGGUUGGGCGAGUUGGAAGGGGGGGUCGGCA